rnacentral:rRNA from 1 species
CAGUAGCCGCGGGAAUACAGAGGGUGCAAGCGUUAAUCGGAAUUACUGGGCGUAAAGCGCGCGUAGGUGGUUUGUUAAGUUGGAUGUGAAAUCCCCGGGCUCAACCUGGGAACUGCAUCCAAAACUGGCAAGCUAGAGUAUGGUAGAGGGUGGUGGAAUUUCCUGUGUAGCGGUGAAAUGCGUAGAUAUAGGAAGGAACACCAGUGGCGAAGGCGACCACCUGGACUGAUACUGACACUGAGGUGCGAAAGCGUGGGGAGCAAACAGGAUUAGAUACCCGCGUAGUCCCUGUCUCUUAUAA